UCCGGACGCCAGGCCAGGCCGUGUGCAAAGAACCCCUCUCCUGCACCUCUUACUGAAUCUGCACACCGAUCCCGGGAGAAGGUGUGAGGGUUGCUGUCAUUUUCCAAAGGAGAAAACUGAGGCCAGAGAGAUCAAGGUCCCAUCGCACAACCAGCUGGUCUGCAGGACAGGGCUAUGGCCAUGCCUCCUACCCCCCAAGGUACCCAUUUCCCCGGUUUCCGCCUAGCCCAGGCUCACCCACAGCUGCCUAGGAUGAAGUUCUCUUGCUUGGCGGGCCCCUCAGUGCCGGAGCCCGGCAGAGUGAAGCGCAGAGAGGCCUCUUGAGGAUGUCCUGCAGCUGCUUCAACACAGCGUGCACCUCGUCGUGCAGCAGCCAGCGGAACUCCUCCUCCUGCGGGACAGACCCGGCGGU
rnacentral:lncRNA from 1 species